rnacentral:rRNA from 1 species
UUUAUGGAGAGUUUGAUCCUGGCUCAGGAUGAACGCUGGCGGCGUGCCUAAUACAUGCAAGUCGAGCGAACAGACGGGGAGCUUGCUCCCCCGACGUUAGCGGCGGACGGGUGAGUAACACGUGGGCAACCUACCUAUAAGACUGGGAUAACACCGGGAAACCGGGGCUAAUGCCGGCAAACAUGUGUGGACCGCAUGGUGCUACUGUGAAAGAUGGACUUGCGGUCGCUAAUUUUUCGACUCUCGCAGCAUGAGCUACAUUGAAAAGUAACGGAUU